AUUGAACGCUGGCGGCAUGGCUUACACAUGCAAGUCGAACGGCAGCACGGGAGCAAUCCUGGUGGCGAGUGGCGAACGGGUGAGUAAAGUAUCGGAACGUGCCCAGUCGUGGGGGAUAACGUAGCGAAAGUUACGCUAAUACCGCAUACGAUCUAUGGAUGAAAGCGGGGGAUCGCAAGACCUCGCGCGAUUGGAGCGGCCGAUAUCAGAUUAGGGAGUUGGUGGGGUAAAGGCUCACCAAGCCGACGAUCUGUAGCUGGUCUGAGAGGACGACCAGCCACACUGGGACUGAGACACGGCCCAGACUCCUACGGGAGGCAGCAGUGGGGAAUUUUGGACAAUGGGCGAAAGCCUGAUCCAGCCAUGCCGCGCGCAGGAUGAAGGCCUUCGGGUUGUAAACUGCUUUUGUACGGAACGAAAAGGUUUGGGCUAAUAAGCUGAGCUCAUGACGGUACCGUAAGAAUAAGCACCGGCUAACUACGUGCCAGCCGCCGCCGUAA
rnacentral:rRNA from 1 species